UACGUAGGUGGCGAGCGUUGUCCGGAUUUACUGGGCGUAAAGGGCGUGCAGGCGGUUUGUUAAGUGCAGGGUGAAAGCUCCCGGCUCAACUGGGAGAGGUCCUUGCAUACUGGCGAACUCGAGGGAGGCAGAGGAAAGUGGAAUUCCCGGUGUAGUGGUGAUAUGCGUAGAUAUCCGGAGGAACACCAGCGGCGAAGGCGGCUUUCUGGUCCGAUUCUGACGCUGAGACGCGAAAGCGUGGGGAGCGAUCCGG
rnacentral:rRNA from 1 species